AUCGUACCCCAAACCGACACAGGUGGUCAGGUAGAGAAUACCAAGGCGCUUGAGAGAACUCGGGUGAAGGAACUAGGCAAAAUGGUGCCGUAACUUCGGGAGAAGGCACGCUGAUACGUAGGUGAAGUCCCUUGCGGAUGGAGCUGAAAUCAAGAUGCCAGCGGGCUGGAGCGGUUGAGUAAAAGCAAAGCACUGUGCGAACAAGAAGGUGGACGUAUACGGUGUGACGCCUGGCCGGUCCGG
rnacentral:rRNA from 1 species